UACGUAGGGGGCAAGCGUUGUCCGGAAUUAUUGGGCGUAAAGAGCGUGUAGGCGGUCCGGUAAGUCAGCUGUGAAAGUCAAGGGCUCAACCCUUGAAAGCCGGUUGAUACUGUCGGGCUAGAGUCCGGAAGAGGCGAGUGGAAUUCCCGGUGUAGCGGUGAAAUGCGCAGAUAUCGGGAGGAACACCAAUGGCGAAGGCAGCUCGCUGGGACGGUACUGACGCUGAGAC
rnacentral:rRNA from 1 species